ACACCGGAAGUGUCCGGCUCUGAGGCUUAUUCUGUGCACUCUAUUGGUGAAAGGGUCUCAAGGCCCCGCCUCCCUAAGGGAAAAGGUGCAAUCCUAGAGAGACAGCUCUGCAGCCGCGGCCAAUCAACAAGACUGAGUGCCCUUUGGCUCUGCCCACGCCUGCUCCCGCCUAAGGUCCUGUCCCAGCUUCUGGCAGAAAUAAGGGAACUAACCGGCUUAUUGAUCAGCCACAUCUUUCCCUUUUUUUAUAAAUUGAAGUCAUCAGAUCAGCCAGCCCAGCUUUACAGCAGCGUAGGACACUGCUUGCAGCCACCCCACAUUCCUCAAGCAGAGACGCCCAGCUGGAAUGCCCUAACCUGUGAGUGGCUUUGCAUGCUGUAAAGCAGCUCACAGCUAAGAGUUUGCCUUAAAUCUCAGAGGAG